rnacentral:rRNA from 3 species
GCAUAUCAAUAAGCGGAGGAAAAGAAACCAACAGGGAUUGCCUCAGUAACGGCGAGUGAAGCGGCAAAAGCUCAAAUUUGAAAUCUAGUACCUUUGGUGCUCGAGUUGUAAUUUGAAGAUAGUUUUCUGGUACUGGCCCUUGUCUAUGUUCCUUGGAACAGGACGUCAUAGAGGGUGAGAAUCCCGUCUGAUGGGGUGUCCAGUGCUUUGUAGAUUUCUAUCGAAGAGUCGAGUUGUUUGGGAAUGCAGCUCUAAGUGGGUGGUAAAUUCCAUCUAAAGCUAAAUACUGGCGAGAGACCGAUAGCGAACAAGUACAGUGAUGGAAAGAUGAAAAGAACUUUGAAAAGAGAGUGAAAAAGUACGUGAAAUUGUUGAAAGGGAAGGAUAUUGGAUCAGACUUGGUGUUUUGUGAUUAUCUUCCCUUCUUGGGUUGUGCACUCGCAUUUCACUGGGCCAGCAUCGGUUCGGAUGGCAAGAUAAUGGCUUGGGAACGUGGCACUCUUCGGAGUGUGUUAUAGCCCUUGUUGAUGUUGCCUAUCUGGACCGAGGACUGCGGCUUCUGCCUAGGAUGCUGGCGUAAUGAUUCAAUAU